rnacentral:rRNA from 1 species
GGGUACUCGAGUGGCGAACGGGUGAGUAACACGUGGGUAUCUGCCCUGCACUUUGGGAUAAGCCUGGGAAACUUGGUCUAAUACCGAAUAUGACCAUGCACUUCCUGGUGUGUGGUGGAAAGCUUUUGCGGUGUGGGAUGAGCGCGCGGCCUAUCAGCUUGUUGGGGGGGUAAUGGCCUACCAAGGCGACGGCGGGUAGGCGGCCUGAGAGGGUGACCGGCCACACUGGGACUGAGAUACGGCCCAGACUCCUACGGGAGGCAGCAGUGGGGAAUAUUGCACAAUGGGCGCAAGCCUGAUGCAGCGACGCCGCGUGAGGGAUGACGGCCUUUCGGGUUGUAAACCUCUUUCAAUAGGGACGAAGCGCAAGUGACGGUACCUAUAGAAGAAGGACCGGCCAACUACGUGCCAGCAGCCGCGGUAAUACGUAGGGUCCGAGCGUUGUCCGGAAUUACUGGGCGUAAAGAGCUCGUAGGUGGUUUGUCGCGUUGUUCGUGAAAACUCACAGCUUAACUGUGGGCGUGCGGGCGAUACGGGCAGACUAGAGUACUGCAGGGGAGACUGGAAUUCCUGGUGUAGCGGUGGAAUGCGCAGAUAUCAGGAGGAACACCGGUGGCGAAGGCGGGUCUCUGGGCAGUAACUGACGCUGAGGAGCGAAAGCGUGGGGAGCGAACAGGAUUAGAUACCCUGGUAGUCCACGCCGUAAACGGUGGGUACUAGGUGUGGGUUUCCUUCCUUGGGAUCCGUGCCGUAGCUAACGCAUUAAGUACCCCGCCUGGGGAGUACGGCCGCAAGGCUAAAACUCAAAGAAAUUGACGGGGGCCCGCACAAGCGGCGGAGCAUGUGGAUUAAUUCGAUGCAACGCGAAGAACCUUACCUGGGUUUGACAUGCACAGGACGCCGGCAGAGAUGUCGGUUCCCUUGUGGCCUGUGUGCAGGUGGUGCAUGGCUGUCGUCAGCUCGUGUCGUGAGAUGUUGGGUUAAGUCCCGCAACGAGCGCAACCCUUGUCUCAUGUUGCCAGCACGUAAUGGUGGGGACUCGUGAGAGACUGCCGGGGUCAACUCGGAGGAAGGUGGGGAUGACGUCAAGUCAUCAUGCCCCUUAUGUCCAGGGCUUCACACAUGCUACAAUGGCCGGUACAAAGGGCUGCGAUGCCGUGAGGUGGAGCGAAUCCUUUCAAAGCCGGUCUCAGUUCGGAUCGGGGUCUGCAACUCGACCCCGUGAAGUCGGAGUCGCUAGUAAUCGCAGAUCAGCAACGCUGCGGUGAAUACGUUCCCGGGCCUUGUACACACCGCCCGUCACGUCAUGAAAGUCGGUAACACCCGAAGCCGG